CUGAAGACCUUACCCGAUUAGCUGAGAGGUGGUGCAUGGCCGUCGUCAGUUCGUACUGUGAAGCAUCCUGUUAAGUCAGGCAACGAGCGAGACCCACGUCCACAGUUGCCAGCAUACCCUCCGGGGUGAUGGGUACACUGUGGAGACCGCCGCUGCUAAAGCGGAGGAAGGAGUGGGCAACGGUAGGUCAGUAUGCCCCGAAUCUCCCGGGCUACACGCGGGCUACAAUGGUUGGUACAAUGGGCAUCUACCCCGAAAGGGGAAGGAAAUCUCUUAAAGCCAAUCGUAGUUCGGAUUGAGGGCUGCAACUCGCCCUCAUGAAGCUGGAAUCCGUAGUAAUCGCGUCUCAACAGAACGCGGUGAAUACGUCCCUGCUCCUU
rnacentral:rRNA from 1 species